UGUCAGAUGAGAAAAAAGAAGAAACCCGCAUAAUGCUCUUGCUUGUAUCACUACUCUUUAAUAAGCUUGACAUAACGGCCUCGCCUCUAUUCGAAUAGAGGGUGUACAUAUAACAUAUUAAACACGUCUGUAACAUAUUGUCAGCGAAUGUGUUAAUUUAAACAAUCAUAAUAUGAAAACGUUUAAUGUAGAGGAAACAUUCAAACAAAGACACAUAGGCUUCUAUACUAGGAUUUGUGUUUUUGUUUUUUAUAUCAGAAAUAAAAAAGAACAUUUAUAGCUCAAUAAAUCAUGUUAAAGAUGAAUUAAAUAUAGAAUAGAAUUUUCAGUGCAAAAAUCUCCUGGUUAGCUGGGUACCAGGGUGAGGUGCACUGUAAUAAGGUUGGUUUAGUGAGCGCCUCAGUGCAGACUUUUGAGUGAGCAAAUACAGUAUGAGAAAACGGUGGGUCAACAGAGGAAAUUCUGUGGUGAUACAGUUUUGAAAUAAAGUACAAUAUGAAAACAGAACCGUUUUGAAUUCAUCCUUACAAUAUAUCACUUUUUUUUAUUGCAUCUCACAUUUGUUUAUUUAAUUCACUGACAUAUAUGCAUUCGUGCUCAAGCCUACUGUGCUGUAUGUUAAAUGUGUCUCUGUGAAAUCCUUGAACAGUAAUCAUUUAAAAAGCUGAGAAGAAUAUGAUUCAUGUCUUCCGAAGUCCUCAAGUCUGCUACCAUCCUUCUCUUCUGCGGCUGUCAGAGUAAAUCCAGAGCAAACUGCCCUUUCGUUUGAGUAAAUGCCCUUGCUGUUUGCACAGAAAGAGUCUACUACUGAUGUAUAUCUACAGCUACUGGAUAACAUGACUACACCAGAUAAAAGUAUAGUAGGACUCAGAUCAACACAAUCCAUCAGGUCGCAAAGGGUGCAGACAUUCACCCCCACACAACAACAACCAUCAGUUACACACACACACACACACACACACACAGACAGACAGACAGAGGGCGAGAGAGGGUGAGAGAGAGAGAGGGCGAGAGAGGGCGAGAGAGAGAGAGAGAGAGAGGGCGAGAAGAGAGAGGGCGAGAGAGGGCGAGAGAGGGCGAGAGAGGGCAAGAGAGAGAAAGAGAGAGAGAGAGAGAGAGAGGGCGAGAGAGAGAGAGGGCGAGAGAGAGAGAGGGCGAGAGAGAGAGGGCGAGAGAGAGAGAGGGCGAGAGAGAGGGCGAGAGAGAGAGAGAGGGCGAGAGAGGCGAGAGAGAGAGCGAGAGAGAAAGAGCGUCUAUCAAACCAAAAUUGUUUCUCUGAAAACUCCCAGAACAUUUGUUAGGUUGAGGCAAAUUUUAUCAUAACAGGGCGAGAGAGAGAGCGAGAGGGCAGAGAGAGAGAGGGCGAGAGAGAGAGAGGGCGAGAGAGAGAGCGAGAGAGAAGAGGGCGAGAGAGAAAGAGCGUCUAACAAACCAAAAUUGUUUCUCUGAAAACUCCCAGAACAUUUGUUAGGUUGCGGCAAAUGUUAUCAUAACAGGGCGAGAGAGAGGGCGAGAGAGAGAGAGAGAGGGCGAGAGAGGGCGAGAGAGAGAGCGAGAGAGCGAGAGGGAGAGGAGAGAGAGGGCGAGAGAGAGAGGGCGAGAGAGAGAGCGAGAGGGCGAGAGAGGGCGCGAGAGAGAGCGAGAGAGAGAGGGAGAGGGCGAGAGAGGGCGAGAGAGAGAGCGAGAGAGAGAGGGCGAGAGAGAAAGAGCGUCUAACAAACCAAAAUUGUUUCUCUGAAAACUCCCAGAACAUUUGUUAGGUGCGGCAAAUGUUAUCAUAACAGGGCGAGAGAGAGAGCGAGAGGGCGAGAGAGAGAGGGCGAGAGAGAGAGCGAGAGAGAGAGAGAGAGGGCGAGAGAGAGAGGGCGAGAGAGAGAGAGGGCGAGAGAGAGAGCGAGAGAGAGAGAGCGAGAGAGAAAGAGCGUCUAACAAACCAAAAUUGUUUCUCUGAAAACUCCCAGAACAUUUGUUAGGUUGCGGUAAAUGUUAUCAUAACACAAAAACUGUCCCGUCGUGCUGAUGAUUAUACAAUGUUUGUAUAAACAUUUGCCUGAUGUUGCAAGAACGUUCCCAGAACAUUGCGUAUACAUUUUGUUGCAACAGUAUGUUCAAAAAACAUUGCUGGUACAUUGUGUUAUUACAUUACCAGGAAACAUAACGAGAAUGUUGUUUGGGGAAUGGUGGUUGUUACAGAUGUUGUGCGUUUUUGUGAAUGUUAGGAGAACGUCCUAAUUUUGUAUAAAAACCCUUUCUUAUGUUCUGGGUAUGUUCCCGGUUUGCUGGGCAGUCUGUCCUGUCUCUUCACUGGGGUCAGCCAGUCAAGUCAGGUGAACCAUGAGAGUCCAUACAGCACAGUCCAUACAGCACAGUCCAUACAGCACAGUCCAUACACUACACACUGUAGCAAUAGAAUAGUGUUGACAUUCAAAAGAGUGUCACUGAUCCUUAUCAAAUCUUUCAGAUUUUGUAGAAUCUAAGAAGAAGCCUGCUCCCUCUUCUCUCCUCUGACUUUCAUUUCCCUCGGCUUUGACUGCGAUGGAAAUAUCCCUUGCUGCUGUGUCGGCUCCACGGACAGCAUAACUCACAAGAACUGCCAAAAUAAUGCCUAUAGGAAUUCCAGUACAUGCGCCAAGUGUUCCAUGUUCUGCACCUGCAACUGCUCCCAUGAGUGCCCCCACUACAGCAGUCAUAAUCACUAUUAGUGGUUUGACGUAGUGGCCCACCACAGACAAGGCCUCUUCCCUGUAUCCUUGCUUGACGGCCUGUAGGUCCACCUUCUGAUGGUCAGCCAUUACCGACCCGUCCUCUUCUCUGUGCUUACUUCAAAGAAUAAACACACACACAGAGACAGUUCAUGAAUCAGAUCACCGUUACAGAUGUAGGAUCUUAAAUUUGAGCCAGUUUGCUAAAGCAGGAAAAUAAACCUGCAGCAAUAGGGAAUGUGAAUUAUUACGUGGAUUAUUUUUUAAGGACAGUUCUGUAGUGGUUGAUACAUUUUUCCUUUGGGUAAAUCUAGUCUGAAAUGUCAAAGUGGAAAUUACUAACUUUAGAAGCAAUUUUAAAU
ensembl:lncRNA